CGCGGCCGCCGCCGCCCGGACCGCCGGGACCGCCAGGACCGCUGCAGAGCGCCGGCCCUAGACGGUGGCCCGCGCCCCAGAUUCUCCUCGGCUCGGCCGCGCGUAUAUUUCCCUUCCUCCAUGAUCUCCAGCACUGAUAAAGUAGAAGAAACUGAGGUACCAGGAAAGAGAAAAGUAACUGGGACUGAGUUAUGGAGAUUGCACCCAGGACCUAGCACGUGCCAG